rnacentral:rRNA from 1 species
UACGGAGGGGGCUAGCGUUGUUCGGAAUUACUGGGCGUAAAGCGCACGUAGGCGGCUUUGUAAGUUAGAGGUGAAAGCCCAGGGCUUAACCCUGGAAUUGCCGUUAAGACUGCAUCGCUAGAAUCGUGGAGAGGUAAGUGGAAUUCCGAGUGUAGAGGUGAAAUUCGUAGAUAUUCGGAAGAACACCAGUGGCGAAAGCGGCUUCCUGGUCCGACACCGACGUUCAGGCACGAAAGCGUGGGGAGCAAACAGG